rnacentral:rRNA from 1 species
AAUUCAUAAGAUUGUUUUUGAUUUGAUAUUAUUUAGAAUAUAAAUUAAUUAAAAUUUUGUUAUUGUAUUAUCAAUUGAGAUAAUAAUUAAUACUAUAGUAAAUUAGUAUUGUAAAAGAAGUUUAAUAUUAUAUAAUUAAUUUAAGUUGAUUUUUUUUAUUGUAUCUUGUGUUUCAGAGUAUAUCGAAAUUAAUAAUUAAUUUUUUUUUUCUUGAAUUUGAAAGAUUUAAUUAAUAGUUUUAAUUAUUGUAUUAUAAAUAUUAAGAAUUAUUAAUUAGUAGUGAAAUGUUAAUCGUUUUCAAUAAUAUCUAGUUUUUUAAUAAAUAAAUUUAAUUUAGAGAAUAUAAUUUAUUAAAUAUUUAAAUAUUUAAAUAUUUUGUUUUCUUGACUUUAAAAGGGAAAAUCUUUUUGAAGAAUAUUUAUAAUAAUUUAUUAAUGAAGAAUUGUAUAAAUUUAGAAUUUGUUAUUAAUUUAAGGAUGUUGAAAUUUAAUUCUUAUUUUGUUUAAAAUUUUUAGUUAUUAUUUAGUAUGUAUAUUAAAAUGUUAAGUUAAAUAAAAAAAAGUGAGUAAGUAUGAUUUAAUUAGUAAAGUCUGGAUUAUUUUGUGAAUGAAAUGUAAUGUUAAUAUGAGGAAUUAGGCAAAUAAUUUACUCACCUGUUUAUUAAAAACAUGGUUUCUUGGGGAAAUAAGAGAUUUAACCUGCCCACUGAAUGUGGUUUAAAGGGCCGCAGUAUAUUGACUGUGCAAAGGUAGCGUAAUCAUUAGUCUUUUAAUUGAGGGCUAGUAUGAAGGGUUGGAUGAAGUAAAGACUAUUUUAUAAUAAUUUAAUUUAACUUAGAUUUUAAGUAAAAAUACUUAAAUAAAAUUAAGGGACGAGAAGACCCUAUAGAGUUUAAUAUAUAUUUGAAUUUAAUAAAGUUAAAAUAAUGAAUUUAUUAUCUAUGUGAAAUAUAUUUAAUUGGGGUGAUUAAAAGAUAAAAUGAACUCUUUUUUGAGUUUAAUAUUAUAUUAAGUUUUAAGAUCCAUGGUUAAUGAUUUGAAGAUUAAAUUACCUUAGGGAUAACAGCAUAAUUUUUUUUGAAAGUUCAUAUUGAAAAAAAAGAUUAUGACCUCGAUGUUGGAUUAAGAUUAGUUUUGAAUGUAGAUGUUUAAUAACUAGGUCUGUUCGACCUUAAAAUUCUUACAUGAUCUGAGUUUAAACCGGCGUGAGCCAGGUUGGUUUCUAUCUUUAAUUAAUUAGAAUAUUUUAGUACGAAAGGACCAAAUAUUUGAAAUAAUUUUUAUGAAGGAAAAAGAAUAUUAUUAAUAAA